AGUUUUUCAGACCAGAUAGAUUCUUGCUCCUUUCCCUUGUGGGAAUAUUAUCAUUAUGUUCUUUUGGAAUUAUUUUACCUCUCUUCAGGCUCUUUUUAGACUAGGAGGUAACUUACGACCAUAUCACAUGACAGGUAAUACUUUAUAACAAAAAGCCAUGUGUAAACAUGACAUGCUUCCCUUGACACAUGCCAGCCUGAUGAAUUAAACCUUAAGAGGAGUUUGUCCCAUUUUAACUUAGUGUGUCUUGACAUGUGCUGACAGCAGUUGUUGAAAUUUGGCUUUAGGGAAUAACUUCCAGACUGUGGGCAGGAGGACAGAAGAGCUGAAGUACGUGAGAUCUAAACCUGGAAGAUGACUGAGGUAGUGUGGAGGAAAUGGAUUCAAACAAACUCGUUUGAAGAAUAUAAGCCAAGCACAGCCAUGGGAUCAAACGUAGAAAUGGAGUGCAAGUUCAUCUACUGUUAGUCACCAUUUUUGAGGAAACAGUGUAAGAAUUCUGACAAAGCUGUAGUUCAGCAUUUUGGCAAGUGCAACGAAAAGAACUGUGUAUAU
rnacentral:lncRNA from 1 species